GCUGCGGAGGGGAGAAAUAUAAUGAGGAAAAAUAUUGAGUCCGCUCAGGAGAAGUUGGGGAGGUGUUGAUGGGUUUCUAGUGUCUGCUGAGAGCAGCAGUUAAAACAGAACCUCCCGUGUUCUCAGCAGAGGGCAGCACAUAACUCUCUGGAAGAAGGGAGGGAAAACAAGCAGGUAUAUGAGGACACGGCUCUAAUGUACAUAUGAAGAACAAGUGGGGGCUCUAUCAAGUUCACUCCCCCCAGAUGGGAAGAGCAAAUAUUUGCGGUGCAGUGGCAGCGAGCCGCUACACCGGCCUGUCUGUGGCUGUUUCUCUCUGGUGGGGUUAUGAUUUUACACUGAUUUAAACUCGUGUGGACAUUACUCAAAUGAUUCCGUUUAACACCAACCGCCUUGUCUGUGGUCAACUUCUGCCAGCAGGGGGCAGGAGAGCUCUCUUCUCCGGUGUACGCGUGUGUGUGUACGUGUGUGUACGUGUGUGUGCAAAAAGAUCCUCAAUGCCGAGGAACAGUCGCCCACUAUUUCUAGUGAGGGAGGGGGUGAGGAAGGGGUGAGGGGCACGAAGAGAAGAGCAGAGAUGUUGGAGAAAUGAGCGAUGUCUCUGGGAGACUAAAAAAGAGGUUCAAUUAUAAGAAUAAUAUCCAACAACGACCUGUAAUUAAUCUGUUAACCUUCCUGAAUAAUCUGUAUCCGCGUAAUCUCAGCCAAUACUUUGAAGUCAACGCACGCAGCAAACGUUUUAUUAUGGUUGUGGACGCGUAACGUAACUCAUUCCCGCGGUGCAGAUUCAUUAGGUCAUUAACUGCCAAUUCCGCCGUUUACCGUCGGAAGACAACGGAACAACCUCGAUAGAGAACCAACUUCAAGCUGUCCAGAAGAUACUCGAUGAGACCCUUGACAACAACAACACAUUCAGUCUCUAUAUUGGUGAACAACUGGAGGAGUUUAUCAAGGUAUACCAGUGAUCGCCCCUCCGCCCAGGCAGAUGCUGUGCAGCUGGCUGUGUGAACUGUGAAAGGCCCUGAGAGAGCACAGAGCCCGGGAAAACGCACCGUGAGGCAACUUCAGACUGACAGCGGAACAACACCACCAACAACAACAAAAACAACAACAAGCCCACAUGCCACAUCUCCACUGGCUCUGGGGAGCAAGAAAAACAAAACAAGCCUCAUCCGCCCCUAGUAGAUCUGUCCUCAGCAGAUGGAGGCGUGGCAGGAUGUGGAUACGGCCGCAGUGAGUCCGGUGAGCACGCGACUGCCGUCAUGGCCUAACGAGUUUCACUCAAUCCAGCUGUGCUGUUGUUGUCGAAGUGGAAGUGGAGGUUUUACAGCGAUGCGAUUCACCCAAAGUGAUCCCAAAUGCAUGAUGUAUCACAUCAGCCUUCCGCUCCUGCCACGUUAAUAAAUGGUCCCGUAUUGGUGAUUAGGAUGCGCAGCAAUCAGUUGGGAGGUUAUGUCUUCUGUGAGAGUACCUCGGGGGUUUGCUUUAUGUCGGCAAAGCCCCGAGGCUAAACAAAUAGCUGCACGAUAAACAGACGUAUGAAUUAAUGAUGCGUCUUUGAAGAGCUGAGCUUGGUUAGAUGUUAAAACAAGAUGUGCACUGUAAUGGGUUAUUGGUUAUUUUACUGUGAUCAUCAUGCUAUAAUCUUUGAUUAUUCAGCUACUCUGACAUAUGUUGGAAAUAUUCCUUUUAAUGGACACUGUGUUGCAUUUCACAGACGUGAUUUAUAACUGUAAUCAAGCAGCAACUACAAGCUUUUAAGUGCUUUAAACAUGUUUGAGUCAUUUGAUUGUGCACUACAUAAAUAGCAUGCAGCAACAUUAGUGACAAACAUUAGCACCAAAGCUUAGCAAAACUGGCAAGACGUAGCAUUUUAUAAGCUUUAUUUUGACUACGUGGUGUUAAAUUUCAUUCUUUCCCAAUGGAGUUUGUUAGCUAAUCAUUUCAACAAUGACCACACAUUUCCUGUGUUUUGGUUGUAAACUACUAUGAUGGAAAGCCGAAGCUGUUCACUUCCAGCACUGUGUUGUUGUUUUUUUAACUCACACAUCUUCAAAGCCAGUUGUUUUCUUCUACCCUGACAUUAAGAAAUGAACUGGGGCUUAAAUCACACCCUGCCAUGAACACACAAGCAACACAUAUAGACGCUCCUCUGUCAAAAAAAGAAGGAGAAAUAUAAUUCCUGGCUGAAUAGACAAGCGGAACCAGCGGCGAAAUGAUGAAAUCUAACUUGUGGACGCACGUCACUGAUGACUAACUUGUUGUUUGUCCAGUUUCGUUUCUCCAUCAUCGACUUCCAACGUGGCGCUCUCCCUGCAGCCUCGCUGGUGCAGAUGAAAGCGCGAUUGGAUGAAGGGAUUAAAUGAAAUAAAACAACGGGGCGACGUUGGCUCAGAGCGGAGAGAUGCAGCGCUGUGAGAUGGGCAGCCGGAACAACGGGCCGAUAAACAAAUGAAUGAAUCACACGCGGAGGGAGGCCUGAAGGACUUGGUUGCUUUGUCCCCCCCAAAGACAGAGAAUAAACCAGAGAACAAGGAGCACGAUAACAACUGCAUUAAUUGCUCAGAAGGACCGCGGGUCAGAUGUGCGAACAAAUCCGUAGCGCUCCGUCCAUCAAAUAUCUCUCUCUCUCUGUGUCGCAAACAAUCAAAACCUGAUGGAAAAAAAGGAGGAACCAUCAGGGCCCCCAGACUCAUUGUUCCCUCUCUCUUCCUGUCAGUUGGCGCUGAUGAGAGCUUAUUCAACAAAAUAAUAACAGAGAACCAGACCAGUAGGCCUCAACCGGUUUCCUCAGCGGAGCAAUCUGCAAAAGAAUGGUGUCCAAAAGAUGCAAAAAGAUAGACGCCACGUGGCCUUCUGGGAAAUUGCAUAACUUUUUGAGAGGAAAAUUGUCCCGGCAAAUAAGUCCACCCAAGGCAGCGUGAGGAUUGACAACAAACUGCUGAUUUCCUGAGGAGAUAAUAGAACGCCCACAAACGGACGUAGCAGGGAGCGACAGGUGGAGAUAAUGAUUGAAUGAGUUGCAAAUAUUGUAUCCUCAUUAAGUAGUUGUGAGUGACGUUAAAAAGUCACGAGUCAAUGUGCAACGCUUUCAUUCAUAUUGUGAUUCAAAUAUUGCUAAUUCGUGACAUCACAUUUUGUUUUGUUUUUAAAAGCGAAAAAAAAAAAAAAACUGGAGUAUCUCAUGUGAGUCCGGAGCUCAGGAAAAAAAACGGCUGCGUCGAUGUCACUGCACUUACUGGUA